UGCAGGCAAGAAGAUGGAACUGGAAAAUAUCAUCUGAAUGAGGACUGAAGUCAAGGACUGCUGUGGUUGAAUUAAGGAAAGGCUGGAAGAAGCUGAAGAGGUUGGCGACCCCAAAAGAAGACCAGAAGUCUCAACUCUCCCAGACUCCUGAGAUCUCUCAGACAUUGAGUCCCCAACCAGCAGCAUACAAGAACUGGUGGGAGGACCCUGACGCAUAUACAGCAGAGGACUGCCUGGUCUGGCCUCAGUGAGAGAAUCCUUGCCUAACCCUUUAGAGACUUGAGGACCCAGGAAGUGGGGAGACCUGGUCAGUGUCUUCGAGUAACUGUUGGUUGCCUUUGGUGGCCAGAUGAUGGUGUGAGAUCCCCUAAACUGGAUUUACUGACAUUUGUGAGUUGCCAUGUGGGUUCAGGAGAGUCAACCUGGUUUCUCUGGAAGAGGAGAUAGUCCUUUUUAUUACUGAGCCAUACCUCCGUUCCCUCUUUCAAAUUCUGUUUUUAAUUCUUCUCUCAUGUAUUACAGCCCAAAAAAGAGAUUUUUAUCUCUCCUCUCCUCAGGGUCAGUCUUCCCUACCUGUCUACUCCCCCCAAGACCUUUCCUGUAUUAUUGUCAUGUUUGUCUCUAAUGUAGUAUCUUGUUUGUUGAGUUUUGUUAUUUGGUUACACAGUCAUUGCUAAAAGAUUUGUCGUAAGAUUUAAAUUUGUGUUUUGUUUUUCAAACGAUUGUAAAGGAAAUUUAUUGUGUUUCCAAAAUAUUGUCAAUAUUAAAAUAUGAAAACUCUCUAUGUUUAUUUAGUGGUUCAGUGGUAGCUAUCAACACAGCAGAAUCCAAAAUCAGCUUGGAGGCAAGUCCUUCGGACAUCUCUGAGGGGUCAUCUUGUUGUUUGAAGAACCAUCUUAAUUGUAACUAAGAACAUCCCCUGGGUGGAAAAUCCUGUAUUGCAUAAAAUGAUGAAGGCAGGAGAAAUGACUUCAAUUCAACAUGAAAUUAAUCCCCCAGACCAUCAUUAGAGUGCAAAGGUGACCUGAGCAUCUGAGCCUUCAGGAAGACAUGCUUCAUGGAUCUCAAUUUGGAUUUCUGAACAGAGAAACAGGUAUCAUCAAUUACUGGUACUUGUAAUGCACAACAUUGCCAUGAAGAAAACGGAAUUAGCACAGAGCAUGCAGAGUACCUUCCAACUCCAUGAACAUUACAUGUGAAGCUUCAAGUUUGGUAUCUGCACAAUUUCUCAAUGGUUGAUGACAGAAGUAUCUCUGAUACGGAGUCUCAGUGUACUUUGUAGUGAGGUUGCAAAUUCAAGCACUAAUGCAAUGCUUCCUGUCAGCCUCCUGAGAAGAUCACACUGGAGACCACUACUCUGAUCUAUGAUAUAAACUGCAAGAACUUUCCUGAUGAGGAAUAGGACUCUGUGUUUAUACCCUUAACCAAUGCUGUAACUGUGAUCUAUGGCAAGGGAAGAACAAGAUCUCAGGACUGGUUCAUCACCUUACUAAGAUAUUCAAAAUUACAUAAUACUAGAAGAACUUUUUUUUCUUACAAUCUUAGAAUGUGGAGGGAAUCUUAUUUAACUAGUGUACAGUUGACAGAGGAUACCUAGGGAGUUUAUUCCCAUGCUGAGAUACCAAUUCCUUACUACUGUCCACAGCAUUCUUAGAUACUUCCUUUUCAAAGUGAGUCUAGCAGAGGCAAAAAGUUCGUAGUCGUUCAUACUGUAAUUUAGAAUUAUACAAAAAGUGUUUAUGCAUAGACAGUGGAUAGAAAGGCUCAAUUCUGCAACUCAUGUGUUAUCUUUGACUUUUUAAAAGGAGCUGUUCACUAGAGAGUAGCUGCAAGGAAUGGAAAAUUUGAUGAGCCACACUGAGGAAGACUGAGGAAGCGGAGAGCUGACAUCAAUUCACAUUAUGGUGUAAUCAUUUUUCUAUAAACGGAAAACCAGAAGUCUCAACUAUCCCGGACUCCUGAGAUCUCUUAGACAUUGAGCCCAACCAGCAUCAUAGAAGAAUUGGUGGGAGGACACUGACACAUAUACAACAGAGGACUUCCUGGGCUGGUCUCAGUCAAUGUCUUUGAAUAACUGUCCAUUGCAUUUGGUGGCCAGAUGAUGGUGUGAGAUCCCCUGAAACUGGAAUUAGUGAUAUUUUGGUAGCUAUCAACAUGGCAGAAUCUGAAAUCAACUUGGAGGCAAGUCCUUCGGACAUCUGUGAGGGGUCAUCUUGUUGUUUGAAGAACUAUCUUAAUUGUAGCUAAGAACAUCCCCUGGGUGGAAAAUCCUGUAUUGUAUAAAAUGAUGAAGGCAGGAGAAAUGGCUUCAAUUCAACAUGAAGUUAAUCCCCCAGACCAUCUUAAGAGUCCAAAGGUGACCUGACUAUCUGAGCCUUCAGGAAGACAUGCUUCAUGGAUCUUAAUUUGGAUUUCUGAACAGAGAAACAGGUCAUUGGUAGAUAAGUUAAACUUUCAAAAUCAGAGAGGAUCCUAUAAUUCUUAUCCAGUAUUGUAUAGGUAUCAAUUGCACAUAGCUUCUAAUUAGAGGUAGGACUCCAUUUCUGUUUCUCCUGUUUACCUCUGAGUCUUUUGUUCAGUUUGAACUCAGAAAUCUUGUGUAUGCUUGAAUAAUCGCUGUGAGUGGAAAUGUUUCUAGGUCCUGUUGUACAUGGAAGAGUCUUGUUCUUGAGAGUCAUCUAUCAUCUCUUGCUCCUAAAGUCUUUCUAAUUCCCCUCCCCAUAGAUUUGUGAUGCUUCAGGGGAAAGGUUCGAUGAAGAAAUCUUACUCAGGACAAGUGCUCCAAAGUCUCUCACUGUCUACAAUAUCCAGUUGCAGUUCUCCAAGCUAGUUCCCAUCUACUAGAGGAAGAAGCUCCUCUGAUGUGAGUUAAGUAAUGCACUGGUCUAUGGAUAUAACUAUGUAAUUUUGAGUCACUUCAUUGUAAUGUGACAUUUGCAGAAUUAUACUGGUUUUCUACUAGACCCAUUUUUGGGUUCUUGAGCACAUUAACAGUGUCUUGUAUGA
rnacentral:sRNA from 1 species